UACGAAGGGGGCGAGCGUUGUUCGGAUUUACUGGGCGUAAAGCGUGCGCAGGCGGUUUUGUAAGCCAGAUGUGAAAUCCCCGGGCUCAACCUGGGAAUGGCAUUUGGGACUGCAAGGCUGGAGUACGGCAGAGGAGACUGGAAUUCCUGGUGUAGCAGUGAAAUGCGUAGAGAUGUGGAGGAACACCAGUGGCGAAGGCGGCUUUCUGGUCUGUAACUGACGCUGAGGCGCGAAAGCGUGGGGAGCAAACAGG
rnacentral:rRNA from 1 species